UUCCUUCUAUAGUGCGACCUUGUGAGGGUCUACAGGAGGGGAUCCAACACCCCUCCCCCACUUCCCUUGAGGCUCUAAUCUGGCCUUGACUUGGAGCAUGCAUGAAGGGAGGUGGGGGCGGAGUCAGAGGGCGGAGAAGACAGUCCCGUGUACCCCAGUCUUCCCAUUGCCAGAGUGCUUAGGGCCAUGGGAAACAGAGAGGUCCCUGAAGACAGCGAGGUGACAGUCACUGCAAGAGUGGAAGAAGCAACCAAGAGAAGAUGAGAGACCGGGAUUGAAGGAACUAGUGUUCUCGCUGAAGGCCCCACCCGUCUGCACCCCUCCCACUCCUGCUAAAAAGCACCUCUUCCCGCCAAUCAGAUUUGAGAUUCUCUCUCUGGCCUGGCCUGGGCCCUAGCUGGGGGACAGAAGUGGUUGUAACCGAAACUUCUUGCCUAGGGCUGCAAAACCUGAGACCGGACAAGGGGAACAGAUGAAGAGAUGAAGGCCUUCAACUAAUUGGAUGAGGCCCACCUAAAACAUUGAAUGUAAUCUACUUUACUCCAAGACACGGCUUUUGGUGUUAACCUGUCUUUUAAGAAAACGCUCUCGGGGGUUGGGGAUUUAGCUCAGUGGUAGAGCGCUUGCCUAGGAAGCGCAAGGCCCUGGGUUCGGUCCCCAGCUCCGGGGGGGGGGGGGGGGGGAGGAAAAAAAGAAAAAAAAAAGAAGAAGAAAACGCUCUCGAGUUUAAGUGGGUGUUGUCUGAUGGGACAUCUGAGCAAUGUAGUCUGGCCAAGUGAAACAUACAUCCAUCACAGUCCCUAGUAGGAGCCCUAGGGUGCUGAGCGCAAUGAGCCCGAUUAGCAGUGUUUCGCUGGCCUUGCAGCUACUCAACUGCUGCGGGAGCCGGGGCUGGGAGCCGGGGCUGGGAGAGGGUUAUUCAUGCAUGAAGUGUCUCCAGGAAAGCGCUUUCCUUGUCUCCGAUGAUCACCCCAGACUUUACCUCAGAUGCCUUUCCUCUCUGCUGAUUCUGCUCUGUGUUGUGCCCUGUCAUAAAUCACAUCUGAUACGGAUCUUUCCAGUCCUAUCACUGGAUUAUUGAUCAAGGGCAAUCUUGGAGACGCCUAUUCUGCUUUGAUCUGGACUUGGCCCGCCUCCAGCUCCAGUGAGCAGCGCCUCUCCCUGACCCUAUACUCCGCAGCUCCCCAUUCAGCCACCUAUACCGUAUCCAAAUCGGCUGAGCCAUCUCGUGCCUCGCAUGUGCUAACUUCCACGAUACCAAGUCUCAGCAUGUUUCGUUAACUGGUGCUGCAGAGCACGCCACCUCCAGACCCUGUGGCUUAAGACAACAAUAGCUCAUCGCUUCUCCUAUCUCCGUGGGUUGAUGAGUCAGGCGGUUCUUCUGCUUCCCAGGGGUUGACCGGGAAUCUAGGGUGGAAAUCUCUACUGGCUCCACCCACUCAGAUGGCAGCACCGGCUGUUAGUUCAACUGAGGCUAAUGCCCAAGGUCACAGUUCUCUUCCAUUUGAGGCUUCUGUGUGAGACUGGUUGAUUUUCUUCAGAGCACGGUGGGUCGGUUCCAGGAAAAAAAAAUAUAUUCAUAAAGAGCAAGAACAUAGCAAGCUGCAGCUUGCAUCAAUCAUGCUGAUAAACCAUUGAGGUAAGCCAGUGCCCAGACCAAGCUCAGCACCGUCACGGGAGGGAGCUACACAAAGAGACUAGUGCUUGAGUUCACUGGAGAUCGCCAAACUCAGUAUGUCAUUUAUUCAAGUCUUCUUGGACCUUUUUAUGGCCCUCCUGUGUAUUUAACUUAUAGCACUUACCCCAUCAGCUUGAAGCAGUAUGUUUGGUUGCAAGAAUUUUCUUGAACUGGAGCUCCUUUGAGAGCAAACACCAUCUCUCCGUCCUCCCACUAUCCCAGUCCUAACUACGCUGCGCUAGAAGGAUUCAUGGUGAAUUGGGGGAAGACAUGAUUACCAUCUAUUUCCUACUUGCCAAACUCAGGCCCUAUCGUAGUCACCUCAGUUAGACUCUGGAAGUCGAAUAGACACUGUCCUCACUCAGAGUGUGCAGCCAGGUCCUGGAAAUAGAUUCCUGGCAGAUCGGAAGCAUCUAAUAACCCUUGGUGGAAAGAAUAAACACAUGACUGAGCGAACUUCCUAGUUAAUCAUUGAGAUUUUCAAGUCACCCGAUUCUUUCUCUUUGUGACAGGCUCUCCCUCUGGUGCCCUGGCUGGCUCGGAAGGUACUAUGUAGGUGGAACUGCCCUAAACCUCUUAAGGAACCACCUGCCUCCACCCCCUGGGGUGCUAGGGUUAUUGAUGGGUUCCACGGUAUCUUGUUUUUCAGUUUAUAUAUAUGUUUUUAGACAUGCUCUGUGGUCAGGUUGAGAAAGAACACAGAUGAAGCAGGUCCAUCAGAGAUGUCUUUAGGAAGCUUCUCUGGUCUCUCUUUGGGACUAUUCCGUAGGAACACAGUUUCACUUGCUAAAUCAUGUUGUACAGCUUUGUGUCUCUGGGUUAGGAAAGGACAAGGCACACCCCACAGAUGUGUUCUCUGCUUCCCAGACUCUGGGGUUCAGAGCUCCUAAUGCAGGCUCCAUCUGGCUCUAUAAAUAGUCACAGACACAUCUUCAGCGGCAACACACUAGAGUGUGGCAAUCCAUUGUGAACUCAGCUCCUCCCUAUUGCAAAAUUCUGACUUCAUCAGAGAACAGCAGGGGUGAAUCAUUCCCUGUACAGAGGUUCCAAUGACAUCAUUUACUUUUUAAGAACCAGAGGGAGAGGGAGAUGGGAGAGAGAGAAGUUGGUGUUCUGUUCUGUGUUCCUCUUUGGGGACAAGGUACUUUACUCCGCUGUAGGCACCCCGGGAACUACUCCUUACCUAAGACCUCUUCCAGCUUCUGUCUUUUGAAUGUCAUGUUUAAAACUCAAAUAAAAGGUUUGACCUA